rnacentral:tRNA from 1 species
GUGGCUCAGUGGUAGAGCGCUUGCCUUGCAAGUAUGAGAUCCUGGGUUGGAUUCCUCAGC